AUACGUAGGGGGCGAGCGUUGUCCGGAAUGAUUGGGCGUAAAGGGCGCGUAGGCGGCUUUGCAAGUCAGUAGUGGAAGUCCAUUUUUCAAGGAUGGAAGUGCUACAGAAACUGCGGAGCUUGAGUGCAGGAGAGGUUAUCGGAAUUCCCGGUGUAGCGGUGAAAUGCGUAGAGAUCGGGAGGAACACCAGUGGCGAAGGCGGAUAACUGGACUGCAACUGACGCUGAGGCGCGAAAGUGUGGGGAGCAAACAGGAUUAGAUACCCUGGUAGUCCACACUGUAAACGAUGAAUGCUAGGUGUAGGAGGUAUCGACCCCUUCUGUGCCGCAGUAAACACAGUAAGCAUUCCGCCUGGGGAGUACGGUCGCAAGAUUAAAACUCAAAUGAAUUGACGGGG
rnacentral:rRNA from 1 species